rnacentral:tRNA from 1 species
GCCUUCGUGGUGUAAUGGUCAGCACACUGAGCCGGUAUUUCAGAGGUCCGCGGUUCGAUUCCCGACGAAGGCA